rnacentral:rRNA from 1 species
AGUGAACGCUGGCGGCAGGCCUAACACAUGCAAGUCGAGCGGCAGCGCGGGGGCAACCCUGGCGGCGAGCGGCGGACGGGUGAGGAAUUCGUCGGAAUCUGCCUUUUUGUGGGGGAUAACGUAGGGAAACUUACGCUAAUACCGCAUACGUCCUACGGGAGAAAGUGGGGGACCGCAAGGCCUCACGCAGAAAGAUGAGCCGACGACCGAUUAGCUAGUUGGUGGGGUAAAGGCCCACCAAGGCGACGAUCGGUAGCUGGUCUGAGAGGAUGAUCAGCCACACUGGGACUGAGACGCGGCCCAGACUCCUACGGGAGGCAGCAGUGGGGAAUAUUGGACAAUGGGCGCAAGCCUGAUCCAGCCAUGCCGCGUGUGUGAAGAAGGCCUUCGGGUUGUAAAGCACUUUUGUCCGGAAAGAAAUCCCUGGAGCUAAUACCUUCGGGGGAUGACGGUACCGGAAGAAUAAGCACCGGCUAACUUCGUG